ACGCUCGACACCUACUGGAGGCAGCAGUGAGGAAUAUUGGUCAAUGGGCGCUAGCCUGAACCAGCCAAGUAGCGUGAAGGAUGAAGGCUCUAUGGGUCGUAAACUUCUUUUAUAUAAGAAUAAAGUGCAGUAUGUAUACUGUUUUGUAUGUAUUAUAUGAAUAAGGAUCGGCUAACUCCGNGCCAGCAGCCGCGGUAAUCUGAGCGGGCUGGCAAGGC
rnacentral:rRNA from 1 species